AUUGAACGCUGGCGGCAUGCUUUACACAUGCAAGUCGAACGGUAACAGGCCUUCGGGUGCUGACGAGUGGCGAACGGGUGAGUAAUGCAUCGGAACGUGCCCAGAGGUGGGGGAUAACGCAGCGAAAGCUGUGCUAAUACCGCAUGUGAUCUGAGGAUGAAAGCGGGGGACCAGGCAGCAAUGUUUGGCCUCGCGCCUUUGGAGCGGCCGAUGUCAGAUUAGGUAGUUGGUGGGGUAAAGGCCUACCAAGCCGACGAUCUGUAGCUGGUCUGAGAGGACGACCAGCCACACUGGGACUGCGACACGGCCCAGACUCCUACGGGAGGCAGCAGUGGGGAAUUUUGGACAAUGGGCGCAAGCCUGAUCCAGCAAUGCCGCGUGCGGGAAGAAGGCCUUCGGGUUGUAAACCGCUUUUGUACGGAACGAAAAGGCUCUGGCUAAUACCUGGGGCUGAUGACGGUACCGUAAGAAUAAGCACCGGCUAACUACGUG
rnacentral:rRNA from 1 species